CGAUUUGAGGAUUGUACUUCUGACAAAACAGUUAAGAAGUAUAUGACUAAUGGUAUGCUUCUGCCCGACCUGCUUGGCGAACCAGGUCUACAUGAUAUAUAGAUGACCUCCAUGAAUUGUGGGUUCUUAUCUAUCUAUAGAUCCAAUUACUCGGACAAGGUUCCGAGCCAGCCAAGUAAUGACCUAUCUUGAAGGAGAUUCUGCUACGAUCCACGGUUACCAGGAAACAGCUGGAUUAACAGUUAAUGAUCAUGAGGCCUUUGAAGAACGAUUGCGAGAAUAUCCUGUGACGUGUACAUCCCUCGGCGGUAGUUCUGUCCCAGCUCUUGACAAAGAUUGUUUUGGGACUAGUUCCUAGCCCAAUCAAUUCUGUCAGAGGGAGACACAAUAACUGGUGGUGACUUGUAAGUUUAUUGGUUUACUAGGAAGCAGCUGGAUUCACAGUUAAUGAUUCUGUUCACACAAGGAAUUUUGGGAAAUAUCUUCGAUGGAGUUCAGGAGGCCUUUGAGGACUAUUAUCCGGUGAUGUGUGCAUCCCUCAGGGUGUGUCUGUCCCAGCUCUUGAAAAAUAUUUUUCUACUGCAUGUCUCAAUGUUAUCUUCAUACCCUUUUCCCUUCUGUUCUUGGUGGAACCUGUGCCAUUCCUGGUGCUUUUGCCUGUGGGAAACUGUUAUCAGUCAGGCACUUUCCAAGUGUUAUUGUUGGUGCAGUUUCACCUCCUGGAGGAGACUUUUCAGAUCCUGUGACUUCUGCUUGGUAUAAGGACAGGCCGAUGUAUGUAAGGUACACUAACGAGGACAAUGAGACCGAAGGUGAUGGUAUUUUCAGGCUGGUUGCUUUCGAUGUGGAAACCAAAAGCUGCAUUUGGGGAAUAGCAGACAUUCGAGUAAACCGAGAAAAGGCAAGCAAAGAGAAUGGCGACUCGAAAUGGCUUUCGAGUCACUACGGUUAGUCGGUUUCCUUUCUGAAUGUUGAGAGAACACAGUAAUAAGGAAUUUAUCUUUUAGUUUAUACUUAUAGUAUUAAAAUCUCAAUAGAAAGUCUAUUAAAACGAUACGUAAUAAGAUUAGACACGACGAUGACUAACUUGAGAGUUGAGACAGAGAAGAAAACCAAAAGUAGUAGGAGAUGUGUUUCUUUUAUUGCUCUAAGUGCAUAAAGGCA